rnacentral:rRNA from 1 species
UAACGUAGCCUUCAGUCGAGAUUCCUACGGGAGGCAGCAGUGGGGAAUCUUAGACAAUGGGGGAAACCCUGAUCUAGCCAUGCCGCGUGAGUGAUGAAGGCCUUAGGGUCGUAAAGCUCUUUCGCCAGGGAUGAUAAUGACAGUACCUGGUAAAGAAACCCCGGCUAACUCCGUGCCAGCAGCCGCGGUAAUACGGAGGGGGUUAGCGUUGUUCGGAAUUACUGGGCGUAAAGCGCGCGUAGGCGGAUUAGUCAGUCAGAGGUGAAAUCCCAGGGCUCAACCCUGGAACUGCCUUUGAUACUGCUAGUCUAGAGUUCGAGAGAGGUGAGUGGAAUUCCGAGUGUAGAGGUGAAAUUCGUAGAUAUUCGGAGGAACACCAGUGGCGAAGGCGGCUCACUGGCUCGAUACUGACGCUGAGGUGCGAAAGUGUGGGGAGCAAACAGGAUUAGAUACCCUGGUAGUCCACACCGUAAACGAUGAAUGCCAGUCGUCGGCAAGUAUACUUGUCGGUGACACACCUAACGGAUUAAGCAUUCCGCCUGGGGAGUACGGUCGCAAGAUUAAAACUCAAAUGAAUUGACGG